rnacentral:rRNA from 1 species
UACUUUGAACGAUUACUUGGUUCGUUAGCCGAUGAAGAAUGCAUCUAAUUGCGCGUCAACAUGUGAAUUGCAGGAUAGAUAAAUAUCAAUAUUUUGAACGCAUAUUGCGGUCCACGGAUACAUUUCCACGGAUACAUUGCCUGGCUGAGAGUCG